rnacentral:rRNA from 1 species
AUUGAACGCUGGCGGCAUGCCUAACACAUGCAAGUCGAACGGCAGCACGGUCUAGCUUGCUAGACGGGUGGCGAGUGGCGAACGGGUGAGUAACGCGUAGGAAUAUACCUUGAAGUGGGGGACAACCUGGGGAAACUCAGGCUAAUACCGCGUAAUCUCUUCGGAGGGAAGCUGGGGACCGCAAGGCCUGGCGCUUUAAGAUUAGCCUGCGUCCGAUUAGCUAGUUGGUGGGGUAAGGGCCUACCAAGGCGACGAUCGGUAGCUGGUCUGAGAGGAUGAUCAGCCACACUGGGACUGAGACACGGCCCAGACUCCUACGGGAGGCAGAAGUGGGGAACAUUGGACAAUGGGGGCAACCCUGCUCCAGCAAUGCCGCGUGUGCGAAGAAGGCCUGAGGGUUGUAAAGCACUUUCGGCGUGGAGGAGUGCAGAUUGGUUAAGAGCUGAUUUGUUGGACGUUACCCGCAUAAGAAGCACCGGCUAACUCCGUGCCAGCCGCCGCUGUAAAAC